rnacentral:rRNA from 1 species
UGAGGAAUAUUGGUCAAUGGACGCAAGUCUGAACCAGCCAUGCCGCGUGAAGGAUGAAGGCGUUCUGCGUCGUAAACUUCUUUUAUCUGGGAAGAAACCACCCUUUUCUAGGGGUGUUGACGGUACCAGAGGAAUAAGCACCGGCUAACUCCGUGCCAGCAGCCGCGGUAAUACGGAGGGUGCAAGCGUUAUCCGGAUUUACUGGGUUUAAAGGGUGUGUAGGCGGACUUUUAAGUCAGUGGUGAAAUCUUCGGGCUCAACCCGGAAACUGCCAUUGAUACUAUUAGUCUUGAAUCUUGUGGAGGUAGGCGGAAUGUGUCAUGUAGCGGUGAAAUGCAUAGAUAUGACACAGAACACCGAUUGCGAAGGCAGCCUACUACGCAAGUAUUGACGCUGAGGCACGAAAGCGUGGGGAUCAAACAGG